rnacentral:lncRNA from 1 species
CAUAGGUAUCCACAUGAAGCUUCGAUUUGAUCAGAGAUAUGGCGAUCUUCUCGAGAUGCUAGGUCCUUGCAGAGAUCUUCUCUUGAUGGCUGAUCUAACUUCUUCUUUAGACCUCACAGACUUUCUAGAGAUGAAGAAGAACUGGAGAAAGAAGAGGAGAGAGGAAGCUCGACAUAUGAUAGGAAUCUUUCAUCUGCCUAGGGUGUCCAACUUUUGGACCUUUUAUAAGAAGGAAAGGUGGAGUGACCAAGAGGAGGCAUCCAUAAUUUUGAUGCCAAAAAUAAGGAG